CCUAGGAAGUUUGGCCUGUGAAGUUUUCAUAAAACUACUCUUAUUACAUCUCUAAGUAAUCGUAUACCAUAUCUUCAUACCGCUUUUUGAUAUUAGGUAGUAAUGUGAUUCUUAAUUAGGAAUUUGAAAUUAGCAAUUUGUAUCAUUUUGAUAUCGUUAGCUGAGACGCUAGUUGAUGUCGUCAUCACGCAGCAGGCACGUAAUGAUAAAAUCGUCAACAUCCGAUUCAGGAGCGGGCAUGGCUUUUUGCAAUUAGAGGUAUACCAGACCACGUGAUAAGCAAUACCACCUCCAGAGAAGAACAGAUAUAGUCCUUGGUUCACUCCAGACCUGACUGCCCUCGACCAGCACAAAAACACUCUGUGGCGGACUGCAAUAGCAUCGAAUAGUCCCCGCGAUAUGCAACUGUUCAGGGAAGUCAGGAACCAAUACAGUCAGUCAGGAAAGCAACGGCUAGCUUUUUCAAACAGAAAUUUGCAUCCUGUAGCUCUUAACUCCAAAAAGUUUUGGGACACUAAGGUCCAUGGAGAAUAAGAGCACCUCCUCCCAGCUGCCCACUGCACUGAGGCUAGGUAACACUGUCACCACCGAUUAAUCCACGAUAAUCGAGAAUUUCAAUAACCAUUUAUUGAAAUUACUGAAAAAAAUUACUUUAUUUACUGAAAUUACUUUAUUUACUGAAAACCAAUAUUUUCAGACAAGAUAGAACGGCCAAAGGGGGCGGUGUUGCAAUGUACUGCAAAGAUAGGACAGAACUCUGCAGGCUACUAUCCAGGUUACCCUUAUGAAGUGUUCCACUACUCAUCUGAAAUUGGGGAUUUGGACAAAACAUUUUUCAAAGGGUGGUAUCAUUUAUUUAAAUUUUUUCCCGUGAAGGACCGUCCGCUUGUCAGAGGAGAAACAGACCUACUUGACUCUGAUAUUAUCAAUGAAGCAGGCAGUGAUGGUGUGAUAUUGUUCAGGAUCUACCUGCCACCAGACUUUCCCCAUGUCCCGCAGCCACUAACCAUGGAGUUCUUUGGUCUCUUCAAGGCUGAGUUUUUCAGGGAUGCUUGUGACAUCCCCCCUCCUUAUAGGGACUUUGUCCUUAGGCACAUAGUUGCCACAGUGUUGAAGCAGAAAUAGGAUGCUUUUGAAACUGAGAGGACUGUGAAGGAUGGGUUCGGGAAGACAGGUAUCUUUCUAUUUGACUACCAUGUCAUGGCUAGGUCCGUAUGGUGUGGGAGGGAAAAGAUGAGGCCCGAGUUCGGUUCUGCUGGACCCUGUGAUGAUGGGCCAAAGAAAAAAUGACCCGAACUUGUGACAGACAAGGGUGACAGACAGUUCUUAUGACAAUAAGAAGGCAUUAAAGGCAAGUUCUCUAUAAUAAUUACUUUGAGUCUCGGAAUAUCCUGUGAUUAAUUUACACAAAAUUAAUAUAACGUCAUGUCACCAUUGUAUUGGUACAUGUUGAUCUUGUGAUUUACAGGUGGAAUCUGACGCCAAACCGGUGUUGCCUGGGUCGUUUCUGCCAGUUUCUCUGCCAUCAGAGUCUGUUAAGAAAGGAGAUAUUAGGUGUGGUGGUUAAAAAAUAGGAGGAAAUUAAGGAGGAGUUGAAUGUUGUCAGACAUAUCUGCAAUAGAUCCAAAUAUUUUGAACAAUGCCAAUAAUCAACAUUAGACGAUAAUUAUAUCAAGGAAAAACUGUCAUGCUCCACUUUUCAUACUGUAUACCCACCCUGAUCACAAGAGCCAGCUAUAGUUCAAUUGAAGUGCGUUUGGCAUUUCUAUUAUGUUAGCAGUUUGUAAUUAGAAGUUUUACUUUGAAGCCUUCAUCAUUUUUCUGUUCUGAUGACUUCAUUGCAGUAUUUUCCAAGAGAUCACAGCCAUGACUCCAUUGAGAGAUGGGAUGAGACUUCGGGCCCUGACGAUAUAUCGGAAGCGUCCCAGGAGUUAACAGAGGAAUCUUCAGACUUAUCAGACGGCCCUGAUGAAUCAAACAGAUUUAGAAUACGUUGACGAAGAAGAAGAGUUACCUGAAACUUCACAAGCUGUGAGAGGAAAAGCAUCUUCAAAGUCACUGCUGCCAGAGAAACAGUCACCUCAUGGUGAAACAUUUUUAAUUGCACUAUUGGGCCCAAUCUAAGUGUCUAACCACAGAAACACAGACUUGGUGGAUGAGUCUGGUGACAGCUCUGACGACGAGCCAUUGGUUAAGAUGAUCAGGAAGCUUCCAACAAACUGCCAGCUGAGCGAGAGAGUGAAGGCACUGCUGAAAUACACAGACAUGGCGGAUGUGACAAUGAAGCAAAUCUACAAUAGAGUGUUUGAGAGGUGCCCCCGGUAUGACCUGUCUAACAAGAAGGACAUCAUCAAGCAGACAGUGAAAGAGGGGAUUUCUUUACAACCCAGGGUUUUAAUCAAGCCAUAUUCAUAGCUUUGACAGAUAACAUUAUAAUCCAUGAUCUCAGGAGAACAUAGUUGAUAUCGUGACAGACUCGGGGAUUCCUGUAUAUGCCUUUCCAGGAUGUUUCAUUUAUAUUUUAUACAUACAUAUUCAGACUGUUUAAAUACUAUACAAUUUCAUACAACUUAUUUGUUUUACUUACCUAAGUUUUGUAAAUAAAGUAUUUAUUGUACUGUA
ensembl:lncRNA